UACGAAGGGGGCUAGCGUUGUUCGGAAUUACUGGGCGUAAAGGGCUCGUAGGCGGCCAACUAAGUCGGAUGUGAAAUCCCCAGGCUUAACCUGGGAACUGCAUCCGAUACUGGAUGGCUUGAAUCCGGGAGAGGGAUGCAGAAUUCCAGGUGUAGCGGUGAAAUGCGUAGAUAUCUGGAGGAACACCAGAGGCGAAGGCGGCCCACUGGGCUGCACCUGACGCUGAGCCGCGAAAGCCAGGGGAGCGAACGGG
rnacentral:rRNA from 1 species